rnacentral:rRNA from 1 species
AACGCUGGCGGCGUGCUUAACACAUGCAAGUCGAACGAGAAAGCCCUUCGGGGUGAGUAGAGUGGCGCACGGGUGAGUAAUGCAUGGGAACGUACCAAUAGGUUCGGGAUAACCACGGGAAACUGUGGCUAAUACCGGAUGUGCUCGCAAGAGUAAAGGAGGCCUCUCAUAUAGCUGUUAAUUACCGACUCAUUUUAUGAGUUAGUAAUUAGCGGUUAUAUGAUGCUCCCGCCUACUGAUCGGCCCAUGUCCCAUUAGCUAGUUGGUGAGGUAACUGCUCACCAAGGCUACGAUGGGUAGCUGGUCUGAGAGGAUGAUCAGCCACACUGGAACUGAGACACGGUCCAGACUCCUACGGGAGGCAGCAGUGGGGAAUAUUGCACAAUGGGGGAAACCCUGAUGCAGCAACGCCGCGUGAGUGAAGAAGGCUCUUGGGUCGUAAAGCUCUUUCGACAGGAAAGAAGGGUGAUAAGGUGAAUAAUCUUAUUGCUUGUCGGUACCUGCAGAAGAAGCACCGGCUAAUUCCGUGCCAGCAGCCGCGGUAAU